GACGAACGCUGGCGGCGUGCUUAACACAUGCAAGUCGAACGGAAAGGCCCUGCUUUUGUGGGGUGCUCGAGUGGCGAACGGGUGAGUAACACGUGAGUAACCUGCCCUUGACUUUGGGAUAACUUCAGGAAACUGGGGCUAAUACCGGAUAGGAGCUCCUGCUGCAUGGUGGGGGUUGGAAAGUUUCGGCGGUUGGGGAUGGACUCGCGGCUUAUCAGCUUGUUGGUGGGGGAGUGGCUUACCAAGGCUUUGACGGGUAGCCGGCCUGAGAGGGUGACCGGCCACAUGGGGACUGAGAUACGGCCCAGACUCCUACGGGAGGCAGCAGUGGGGAAUAUUGCACAAUGGGCGGAAGCCUGAUGCAGCAACGCCGCGUGCGGGAUGACGGCCUUCGGGUUGUAAACCGCUUUCGCCUGUGACGAAGCGUGAGUGACGGUAAUGGGUAAAGAAGCACCGGCUAACUACGUG
rnacentral:rRNA from 1 species